CUGAAUUUGUUGGUACCAUUUUAGUGUCUGAACGACAUGGCAUUAACCAAGGUGGCGAAAAUCAGUAUUGGAUGGUAGGGCAGUUGUCGUAGCUGGGGGACUGUACGCAUUUGUAGUAUCAAAACGAUCCAUCGAAAGUAAGCGUUAUGAGACCAUGAAA
rnacentral:lncRNA from 1 species